rnacentral:rRNA from 1 species
UGGGGAAUAUUGGACAAUGGGGGCAACCCUGAUCCAGCCAUGCCGCGUGUGUGAAGAAGGCCUUUUGGUUGUAAAGCACUUUAAGCAGGGAGGAGAGGCUAAUGGUUAAUACCCAUUAGAUUAGACGUUACCUGCAGAAUAAGCACCGGCUAACUCUGUGCCAGCAGCCGCGGUAAUACAGAGGGUGCGAGCGUUAAUCGGAAUUACUGGGCGUAAAGCGAGUGUAGGUGGCUCAUUAAGUCACAUGUGAAAUCCCCGGGCUUAACCUGGGAACUGCAUGUGAUACUGGUGGUGCUAGAAUAUGUGAGAGGGAAGUAGAAUUCCAGGUGUAGCGGUGAAAUGCGUAGAGAUCUGGAGGAAUACCGAUGGCGAAGGCAGCUUCCUGGCAUAAUAUUGACACUGAGAUUCGAAAGCGUGGGUAGCAAAACAGGAUUAGAUACCCUGGUAGUCCACGCCGUAAAACGAUGUCUACUAGCCGUUGGGGUCCUUGAGACUUUAGUGGCGCAGUUAACGCGAUAAGUAGACCGCCUGGGGAGUACGGCCGCAAGGUUAAAAACUUAAAUGAAUUG